GAAAAGCAAAGCAAAGCCACUCACAUGAGGUCUUGCUCCUGGGGACUGGCAUGGCCAGGACUCCAACCCCGGCAGCCUGUCCCAGAGCCCUGGCGCUAGCCCCAGUGCAGUCUCUCCACCACCUCGCACUUCCUCAGGCCACCUUCCUGCCACAGCCUUUUCCCCAAACCUGGUAUCACCCCCUCUCCUCCCUCCCUAAUCCCACCUCUCGGGCCUGGCCACUCCACCCCACCCCUUCCAGGACUCAGAUUCAGACUCUGAGGGAGGAGCCGCUGGUGGAGAAGCAGACAGUGAGUAUCUUCCUGGAGGGACAGGGAGCAGGGUUCGGGGGGCGGGGGAUUUCAGGGCAGGGGUGUGGGUGAUACCUCCUCAACUCCAUCAGGAGUGACAUUCAAAGUAUGUAGCAGUGGGUUGGGUACCAGUGCCAGAGCAGGCUCCUGGAGGCCCCUGGCUGGGCCGGGCCUUGUGCCUUUAGAUGUGGGGAGGCCGGGGACCCCAGGGCUGGGGCCAGGGUGCUGGAGACAUCCAUGCCCCCUGGCUGAAUGCCCGUCGUGCCGCUGUCUCUCUUCUUUCCGGUCAGUGGACUUCCUGCGCAACUUAUUCUCCCAGACGCUCAGCCUGGGCAGCCAGAAGGAGCGUCUGCUGGACGAGCUGACCUUGGAAGGGGUGGCCCGGUACAUGCAGAGCGAACGCUGUCGCAGAGUCAUCUGUUUGGUGGGAGCUGGAAUCUCCACAUGUAAGUAACCCUUCUCCCCCAGCAGCUACCCCCAGGAACUGGGGAGUCCCUCCCAAGGGCUGGGGAGGAGCCCUAUCUGAGCCCUGUCCCAGGAGGGUUAGUAUGGUAUAGACCAACUGCUCCCUGACCCCCCUUUCCUAGCCGCAGGCAUCCCCGACUUUCGCUCUCCAUCCACCGGCCUCUAUGACAACCUAGAGAAGUACCAUCUUCCCUACCCAGAGGCCAUCUUUGAGAUCAGCUAUUUCAAGGUUUGUGCUCCCCCAGGAAGGGGCGUCUGUGAGGGGUGGGGAUGGGGUCACCUGGCUCCAACCCUCAUGCUACCUGGGGCAUCUGGCCCUCUGGCUGUCUCUCCUACAGAAACAUCCGGAACCCUUCUUCGCCCUCGCCAAGGAACUCUAUCCUGGGCAGUUCAAGGUGAGAUCUUUGUUUUGCAGGGGGCGAAACAGGAAGGGUUGGGGGAGGGCACGCAUGAGAAGCCCCCCCAAGGCCCUGCAGACAAAUAUUAUGUAGCCAUUAAGUACAUGGGUGCUGGGCCCAGACUGCCUCGGUUCAAGUCCUGGUUCCUCAUGUCUUCAUCUUACAACCUUGAGCCUCCGAUUUGCCUCCUGUGAAGUGAAGCUGAUGGUACUGUCUGAAGAGGGCUGCUGCGAGGCUUAGCUGACUAAUGAUGCCGUUGAGAGCCCGGGAACCUGCAGCCGGGCUGCCUGGGCGCGAAUCUCAGCUUUGCAGCUUACCCACCGUGUGACUUUGGCAACACAAUCCCCUUCCCUGUCCUUUAGUUUCCUCAUCUGUGAUCUGGGGAUAGCGGUGGUCUCUCCCCGACGCGGCUGCUGUGAUGGUUCCCUGGGGGUAAAACAGUCGCAGUGCCUAGAACAGUUCCUGGCAUGUGGCAGUGGCCUGUGGCUGUUCCCUACAGUCAUCAGCAGUGCUGUCGUUCUCCCCUGCAGCCGACCAUCUGUCACUACUUCAUGCGCCUGCUGAAGGACAAGGGGCUACUCCUGCGCUGCUACACGCAGAACAUAGAUACCCUGGAGCGAAUAGCCGGGCUGGAACAGGAGGACUUGGUGGAGGCCCAUGGCACCUUCUACACAUCACACUGCGUCAGCGCCAGCUGCCGGCACGAAUACCCGCUAAGCUGGAUGAAAGAGAAGAUCUUCUCUGAGGUGACGCCCAAGUGUGAAGACUGUCAGAGCCUGGUGAAGCCUGGUGAGCCUCGGGCCAGGGACCUGCCCAGGUGGAUUUGGGUGGGGGUCCCCUCCUCCCCCUGACCCCUUCCCAAAGGCCACACCCCCACACAUCUGGCCACCUCUGUCUCUCUGAACAGUGCCCCAGAUCCAUCCUGGGGAGAAUGGGGUCUGUGCCCCUGGCCGGUCCCCACUGCUUCCAACUCCCACCGUGGCCUCCGGGUCUGCCAUUGCUCCCACCUGUCCUCUCUGCCUCCCCAUGUCACUGUCUCUGUCCGUCCAUCUGUCUCCACCUCAGAUAUCGUCUUUUUUGGUGAGAGCCUCCCAGCGCGUUUCUUCUCCUGUAUGCAGUCAGUAAGUGGCCCCCCAGCCUCCCCGCAUCCCCAACCGCCGCCUCCACCUGUGCUGGGCCCCAUGGGGGUAGCCUGGGCCCUGCCUCAGGAAAGGUCACCUCCCCAGCUAUGGGGGGCGGCAGGGAGGUUUGCUGCUGGGGGCGGGGGAGGGAGCGGUGGCGCAGCCUGGGCGGAGGCUCCCAAGCUCACGCCCCUCCCCGCAGGACUUCCUGAAGGUGGACCUCCUGCUGGUCAUGGGUACCUCCUUGCAGGUGCAGCCCUUUGCCUCCCUCAUCAGCAAGGCACCCCUCUCCACCCCUCGCCUGCUCAUCAACAAGGAGAAAGCUGGCCAGGUAAGAGCCCUUCUUCAAGCCCCCCUCGUCACAGGCUCCCCCUUCCCUCUCACCCUUUUCCUCAGAGGGAACCCCCACUGUGGAACCCCAGCACUUUGCAUUCCUCAGCUCAGAACCUGGGGCUCUAGAAUCCAGAGGGGUCGGGUUCCAGGCCUCUGGGACAUUCACUGCCCUUUUGAGCAAGUGAUAGAAUUCCAACUCAAACCAGCUGAAGCCAGAUAGGAAGGCCGGGCUUCCAGGGACUGAGGAGGUGGGAGGGGGUGCAGGGGUCAGGAGAGACAGUGCGGGGGGGCGGGGGGGUGGGUCCACGCUCCGGGUCUCUCAGGUCUGUUUUUCCUGAGCAGCCUCACUCUAGGGCAGGUGCUCCCUCCUGGGUAUUCCCCUCAGGGGAAGUAGGCAGGGUCACCGGGCAAGCAGCGCACACUGUGGGCAGACACUGUCCCAAGCCUUAGCCUGCGUGAACUCACUGACGCCACAACCCCAUCGCGGUUUUGUGAUCACCCCUAUUCUACAGGAAACUAAGACACAGAGAGGACAAGUCACUUGACCAAAGUCACAGAGCUGGCUGGGCGCAAUGGCUCAUGCCUGUAAUUCCAGCAAUUUGGGAGGCGAAGGCGGGUGGAUCACCUGAGGUCAGGAGUUCGAGACCAGCCUGACCAACAUGGUGAAACCCCGUCUCUACUAAUAAUACAAAAUUAGCCAGGCAUGGUGCUGGGCACCUGUAAUCCAAGCUACUCGGGAGGUUGAGGCGGGAGAAUCACUUGAACCCAGGAGGUGGAGGUUGCAGUGAGCCGAGAUCACAUCAUUGUACUCCAGCCUGGGCAACAAGAGUGAAACUUUGUCUCAAAAAAAACCAAAAAAACAAACAAAAAAACAAAGUCACAGAGCUAGGAUACAAACCCAGGCCACCUGGCUCCAGGGUCUGUGCUCUUAGCUCUCCCUUCCCUGCUCCUGCCCCUGCCCCACCCCCUCCCUGACAGUCGGACCCUUUCCUGGGGAUGAUUAUGGGCCUCGGAGGAGGCAUGGACUUUGACUCCAAGAAGGCCUACAGGUGAGGCCCCACCGGGGGUUGGGGCAGCCUGGAAGGGACAGGGUGAGGUGGCGGGGGCGGGGGCACGAAGGCAGAUGAGAGGAGCAGGCAGGGGCGAGCCCGCCUGGGAACUCUGAUCUCCUGCUGCACCGCAGGGACGUGGCCUGGCUGGGUGAAUGCGACCAGGGCUGCCUGGCCCUUGCUGAGCUCCUUGGAUGGAAGGUGAGCUGAGCAACCCCAGCCUGUCCUGAGCCCCAUCCCUGGACCCUCUCCCCACCCCAUGGGUCCUCUGACCCCAUGAUGCACAGUGACCUUUGACUUCUGUGACCUUUGCUCCUGCAGAAGGAGCUGGAGGACCUUGUCCGGAGGGAGCACGCCAGCAUAGAUGCCCAGUCGGGGGCGGGGGUCCCCAACCCCAGCACUUCAGCUUCCCCCAAGAAGUCCCCGCCACCUGCCAAGGAUGAGGCCAGGACAACAGAGAGGGAGAAACCCCAGUGACAGCCGCAUCUCCCAGGCGGGAUGCCGAGCUCCUCAGGGACAGCUGAGCCCCAACCAGGCCUGGCCCCUUCUUAACCAGCAGUUCUUGUCUGGGGAGCUCAGAACAUCCCCCAAUCUCUUACAACUCCCUCCCCAAAACUGGGGUCCCAGCAACCCUGGCCCCCAACCCCAGCAAAUCUCUAACACCUCCUAGAGGCCAAGGCUUAAACAGGCAUCUCUACCAGCCCCGCUGUCUCUAACCACUCCUGGGCUAAGGAGUAACCUCCCUCAUCUCUAACUGCCCCCACGGGGCCAGGGCUACCCCAGAACUUUUAACUCUUCCAGGACAGGGAGCUUCGGGCCCCCACUCUGUCUCCUGCCCCCAGGGGCCUGUGGCUAAGUAAACCAUACCUAACCUACCCCAGUGUGGGUGUGGGCCUCUGAAUAUAACCCAUACCCAGCGUAGGGGGAGUCUGAGCCGGGAGGGCUCCCGAGUCUCUGCCUUCAGCUCCCAAAGUGGGUGGUGGGCCCCCUUCACGUGGGACCCACUUCCCAUGCUGGAUGGGCAGAAGACAUUGCUUAUUGGAGACAAAUUAAAAACAAAAACAACUAACAAUCC
rnacentral:sRNA from 1 species